UACAGAGGGUGCAAGCGUUGUUCGGAAUUAUUGGGCGUAAAGCGCACGUAGGUGGCUUUCUAAGUCAGGGGUGAAAUCCUGGAGCUCAACUCCAGAACUGCCUUUGAUACUGGAGAGCUAGAGUCCGGAAGAGGUGAGUGGAACUGCGAGUGUAGAGGUGAAAUUCGUAGAUAUUCGCAAGAACACCAGUGGCGAAGGCGGCUCACUGGUCCGGUACUGACGCUGAGGUGCGAAAGCGUGGGGAGCAAACAGG
rnacentral:rRNA from 1 species